GAUGAACGCUGGCGGCGUGCCUAAUACAUGCAAGUCGAGCGAACAGACGAGGAGCUUGCUCCUCUGACGUUAGCGGCGGACGGGUGAGUAACACGUGGAUAACCUACCUAUAAGACUGGGAUAACUUCGGGAAACCGGAGCUAAUACCGGAUAAUAUAUUGAACCGCAUGGUUCAAUAGUGAAAGACGGUUUUGCUGUCACUUAUAGAUGGAUCCGCGCCGCAUUAGCUAGUUGGUAAGGUAACGGCUUACCAAGGCGACGAUGCGUAGCCGACCUGAGAGGGUGAUCGGCCACACUGGAACUGAGACACGGUCCAGACUCCUACGGGAGGCAGCAGUAGGGAAUCUUCCGCAAUGGGCGAAAGCCUGACGGAGCAACGCCGCGUGAGUGAUGAAGGUCUUUGGAUCGUAAAACUCUGUUAUUAGGGAAGAACAAAUGUGUAAGUAACUAUGCACGUCUUGACGGUACCUAAUCAGAAAGCCACGGCUAACUACGUG
rnacentral:rRNA from 1 species